rnacentral:rRNA from 1 species
GUAGUCCACGCCGUAAACGAUGAGUGCUAAGUGUUAGGGGUUUCCGCCCUAGUGCUGCAGCUAACGCAUUAAGCACUCCGCCUGGGGAGUACGACCGCAAGGUUGAAACUCAAAGGAAUUGACAGGGACCCGCACAAGCGGUGGAGCAUGUGGUUUAAUUCGAAGCAACGCGAAGAACCUUACCAAAUCUUGACAUCCUCUGACCCCUCUAGAGAUAGAGUUUUCCCCUUCGGGGUACGAGAGUGACAGGUGGUGCAUGGUUGUCGUCAGCUCGUGUCGUGAGAUGUUGGGUUAAGUCCCGCAACGAGCGCAACCCUUAAGCUUAGUUGCCAUCAUUAAGUUGGGCACUCUAAGUUGACUGCCGGUGCAACAAGCGGAAGGUAGGGUAGGAUGACGUCAAAUCAUCAUGCCCCUUAUGAUUUGGGCUACACACGUGCUACAAUGGACAAUACAAAGGGUAGCGAAACCGCGAGGUCAAGCAAAUCCCAUAAAGUUGUUCUCAGUUCGGAUUGUAGUCUGCAACUCGACUAUAUGAAGCUGGAAUCGCUAGUAAUCGUAGAUCAGCAUGCUACGGUGAAUACGUUCCCGGGUCUUGUACACACCGCCCGUCACACCACGAGAGUUUGUAACACCCGAAGCCGGUGGAGUAACCAUUUGGAGCUAGCCGUCGAAGGUGGGACAAUGAUUGGGAUGAGUCGUAACAAGGUGANCCGUAUCGGAAGGUCCGGCUGGAUCAACCCAUCC